rnacentral:rRNA from 1 species
UGGGGAAUCUUGCGCAAUGGGCGAAAGCCUGACGCAGCGACGCCGCGUGAGCGAUGAAGGCCUUCGGGUUGUAAAGCUCUGUGGGGAGGGAAGAAUAAGGCUUGGCUAAUAUCCAAGUUGAUGACGGUACCUCCUUAGCAAGCACCGGCUAACUCUGUGCCAGCAGCCGCGGUAAGACAGAGGGUGCAAACGUUGUUCGGAAUUACUGGGCGUAAAGCGCGUGUAGGCGGCCAUCUAAGUCGGGCGUGAAAUCCCACGGCUCAACCGUGGAAGUGCACUCGAAACUGGAUGGCUAGAGUCCUGGAGAGGAAGGUGGAAUGCUUGGUGUAGAGGUGAAAUUCGUAGAUAUCAAGCGGAACACCGGUGGCGAAGGCGGCCUUCUGGACAGUGACUGACGCUGAGACGCGAAAGCGUGGGGAGCAAACAG